rnacentral:rRNA from 1 species
GACGAACGCUGGCGGCAUGCUUAACACAUGCAAGUCGAACGGAAAGGCCCUGCUUUUGUGGGGUGCUCGAGUGGCGAACGGGUGAGUAACACGUGAGUAACCUGCCCUUGACUUUGGGAUAACUUCAGGAAACUGGGGCUAAUACCGGAUAGGAGCUCCUGCAGCAUGGUGGGGGUUGGAAAGUUUCGGCGGUUGGGGAUGGACUCGCGGCUUAUCAGCUUGUUGGUGGGGUAGUGGCUUACCAAGGCUUUGACGGGUAGCCGGCCUGAGAGGGUGACCGGCCACAUUGGGACUGAGAUACGGCCCAGACUCCUACGGGAGGCAGCAGUGGGGAAUAUUGCACAAUGGGCGGAAGCCUGAUGCAGAAACGCCGCGUGCGGGAUGACGGCCUUCGGGUUGUAAACCGCUUUCGCCUGUGACGAAGCGUGAGUGACGGUAAUGGGUAAAGAAGCACCGGCUAACUACGU